UCCCUAAAAGCCAUCCCAGUUCGGAUUGCAGGCUGCAACCCGCCUGUAUGAAGUUGGAAUCGCUAGUAAUCGCGGAUCAGCAUGCCGCGGUGAAUACGUUCCCGGGCCUUGUACACACCGCCCGUCACACCAUGAGAGUCGGGAACACCCGAAGUCCGUAGCCUAACCGCAAGGGGGGCGCGGCCGAAGGUGGGUUCGAUAAUUGGGGUGAAGUCGUAACAAGGUAUC
rnacentral:rRNA from 1 species